GACGAACGCUGGCGGCGUGCUUAACACAUGCAAGUCGAACGGAAAGGCCUCUUUCGGGGGGUACUCGAGUGGCGAACGGGUGAGUAACACGUGAGUAACCUGCCCUUGACUUCGGGAUAACUUCAGGAAACUGGGGCUAAUACCGGAUAGGAGCUCCUGCUGCAUGGUGGGGGUUGGAAAGUUUCGGCGGUUGGGGAUGGACUCGCGGCUUAUCAGCUUGUUGGUGGGGUAGUGGCUUACCAAGGCUUUGACGGGUAGCCGGCCUGAGAGGGUGACCGGCCACAUUGGGACUGAGAUACGGCCCAGACUCCUACGGGAGGCAGCAGUGGGGAAUAUUGCACAAUGGGUGGAAGCCUGAUGCAGCAACGCCGUGUGCGGGAUGACGGCCUUCGGGUUGUAAACCGCUUUCGCUCAUGACGAAGCUUUGUGUGACGGUAGUGGGUAAAGAAGCACCGGCUAACUACGUG
rnacentral:rRNA from 1 species